CUGGGGCCUCCAUGCUCACUGUGGUCCUGGACUCGCAGCAUCAGCACCCCCCGGGCGUGUGUGGGAAAUGCAGAAUCUCGGGCCCCAGCUGGACCUCCCAAGUUAGAGUCUGCACUUUAUUUAUGGGGACCCCCAGGUACUUUUUGUGCAGGCUGUGACCCUUGAGUCUGCAAUAGAGGGACUGUAUGGGGACAAUAGUGGGUUCCAUUUUCAGUAUGACAGGAGCAGAGGGGAGACACGGUGGGGUCUGUGUUUUAGAAACAGCAUCCAGAGCAGCCUGUGGGGAACCAAGAGUGGGCGCAGGGUGAGCGGUGAGGAGGCCGUGGGAUGUUAGGGUGUGAGGUGGCUCCAGCUCAGGUGACAGUGACACCUGGAGACUCUGCUGCCUUGAGCACCAGCACCGGGACCUUUGGGGAGGUCCCUGCUCUGCGAGGGACACUCCGGCUGAGCAGGGUUUUGACCAAUAACUUGGUUUACGGACACAAGGAUACACACAUACACACACAUAUGGUGACACACAGAUGCAGAGAUACAGACAGAGAUACGCACACACACAUACACAGACACACGUCCCUACAGACACAGAGGCCCAGAGACACACAUACAUACAGGCACACCCCCCCACACACACACACAGACAUACACAUGACUUUAUUUGAGAGUUGGUGACUUUGCCCCAAGCAGAAGAGCUGGCAGCGUUGCCUGAGGGGAUUGGAUCCGGAGAAACUUCGGUCAAGUGGAAACCAGGGUUCCAUGGAGUUCAGCUGGGCUGCUGCAGGGGGGCGGGGGCAGGGACUUCAUGGAGGCAGAUGCCCAGGAGGGCAGGGACUUGGUGAGAGGGCCCUCUGUCUGCCCAGCCAGAGGAAACCAAGAGGGGAAGGCAGGCCGCUCUGCGGGGAGGAGGUACUCAGAAACCUCAAAAAACACCUCCCAUUUCUAAUACAAAACGUUUGCCAAGAGGCGCCCUUUUCUCCUUGGCCAGGUCUAGCUCAUAGGAUGGGAAUUUUUUUUUUUUUUUUUUUUUUAAAGCAGGUAUUAAGGCUCCUUUCAGUUCCAGAAAAGCUCUCCAACGCAGGAUUUGAGCAGGCACCUUUCGUCUAGUCUGUGUGGGGCCGACACCCAGUUGAAGAAGCAGAAAGUGACCAGCAUCCAGAAGCCAGGAUGGUGC
rnacentral:lncRNA from 9 species